rnacentral:ncRNA from 1 species
CUGUCUUGUGGCGACCAAGCGUGCAUAGCGACGUUGCUUUAUGGUCCUUCGAUGUCGGCUCUUCCUUUCACUGUAAAGCAGAAUUCACCAAGCUUUGGAUUGUUCACCCACUAAUAGGGAACGUGAGCCGAGUUUAGACCGUUGUGAGACAGGUU